UAUUUCAAGGCUGCUCUCUGUACAAACAACGGCUUUUUUCCCCUUUGAACGACUGCACUUGAGGUUUGCUUCAGUGGUGAGGAUGCUAGCUAUUUGUCAAGUAGUCAUGUUAGCUCACUAGCGGCCACAUAAGCACCACUGAGAUUAGCCAGCCGCGUUAGCAUUAAUAGAUUAAAUGAUGUCAGACAGUAUCAUGAGCAAAACUGCUACCAUGGAGAUCCCCAUUAACAGCAAUGGAGACACAGGGACUCUGCCAGAGGAUGACAGCCCGGAGCAUCACAGUCUAGGAUUGAGGCUGGCUAGGCCAGCUGUUAUCUAACCAUACACAGGCCUGCUGCUAUGUAACA